CCUACGGGGGGCAGCAGUGGGGAAUAUUGGACAAUGGGCGCAAGCCUGAUCCAGCAAUACCGCGUGUGUGAAGAAGGCCUGAGGGUUGUAAAGCACUUUUAAUCGGGAGGAAUAGCGGUCGGUUAAUACCCGGUCGUCUGACAUUACCGAUAGAAAAAGCACCGGCUAACUCCGUGCCAGCAGCCGCGGUAAUACGGAGGGUGCAAGCGUUAAUCGGAAUUACUGGACGUAAAGCGUUAGUAGGCGGUUGAAAGCCCCGGGCUUAACCUGGGAACGGCAUUUGAAACUGAUCGAGUAGAGUUGGGUAGGGGGGAGUGGAAUUUCAGGUGGCGCGGUGAAAUGCGUAGAUAUCUGAAGGAACACCAGUGGCGAAGGCGGCUCCCUGGACCCAAACUGACGCUGAGGCACGAAAGCGUGGGUAGCAAACAGGAUUAGAUACCCCUGUAGUC
rnacentral:rRNA from 1 species